AUUGAACGCUGGCGGCAGGCCUAAUACAUGCAAGUCGAGCGAGCGGCGGACGGGCGAGCAAUGUCUGGGAAACUGCCUGAUCGAGGGGGCUAACUACUGGAAACGGUAGCUAAUACUGCUAACCACCAGAUGUGCCCACGUGGGAUUAGCUAGUAGGUGGGGUAAUGGUUCAUCUAGGCCUCGAUCCCUAGCUGGUCCGAGAGGAUGACCAGCCACACUGGAACUGAGACACGGUCCAGACUCCUACGGGAGGCAGCAGUAGGGAAUAUUUGACAAUGGACGCAAGGCUGAUGGAGCAAUGCCGCGUGAGUGAAGAAGGCCUUCGGGUUGUAAAACACUUUCGGCGAAGAAGCGGUACUCACAGAGGAAGCACCGGCUAACUCCGUGCCAGCAGCCGCGGUAAUAC
rnacentral:rRNA from 1 species